GUGGGGAAUAUUGGACAAUGGGCGCAAGCCUGAUCCAGCCAUGCCGCGUGAGUGAUGAAGGCCCUAGGGUUGUAAAGCUCUUUCACCGGAGAAGAUAAUGACGGUACCCGGAGAAGAAGCCCCGGCUAACUUCGUGCCAGCAGCCGCGGUAAUACGAAGGGGGCUAGCGUUGCUCGGAAUUACUGGGCGUAAAGGGCGCGUAGGCGGACAGUUUAGUCAGAGGUGAAAGCCCAGGGCUCAACCUUGGAAUUGCCUUUGAUACUGGCUGUCUUGAGUACGGGAGAGGUGAGUGGAACUCCGAGUGUAGAGGUGGAAUUCGUAGAUAGUAGGAAGAACACCAGUGGCGAAGGCGGCUCACUGGUCUGGUACUGACGCUGAGGUGCGAAAGCGUGGGGAGCAAACAGGAUUAGAAACCCCAGUAGUCC
rnacentral:rRNA from 1 species